GUAAACAUUCAUCAUUGCCCCUUAGAACGUGUGAAACAUACUAACCAUCACAUGAUAGGUUUGAAGUGAAAUUAAGGAAAGGGGACUGAGUCCCUGUCCAGGUCAACCUGGAGCAAAAAGAAGUGAGUAGUCUAGUCACAAGAGGACAAGUGAGAAUAAGGAUAAAGCAGGAACAGGAAUUUAUCUCCAAGAUAAGACUCUUGACUUCCCACAAGAUAUGUGAUUUGUACUGAGCCAGUGUUCCUUAACUCUUGAAGGGUAGCCUCAGGGAGACAGCUCAGUGAUACAAAGAAAAAGUAGACUCGACUCAAACCUACAGAGAACUCCCACUGAAGUGCGGAAAACCCCUGCUGGGUUGUAGGUCUACGCAGAUACUCCACUAACUCACACCCCCUCUUUAUUUGCAUGGCAACAUAUAAUUUGGGGAUGUUCGGCUCAGUCUCUGAGAUUGGAAAGCAAGAUGCUGCGAAGAACAGAACACAGACUCUGGGUCAGGAAACAUACGGAUUGGAAGGCUGCCUCAACUAUUUGCGGACUAUACACUUGGAGGGAAAAAGACAGGCUUAAUUUUCAAAUCACCUUUGGAGGUGUGGGAGUGACCCAAGCCUUCUAUUCUGCGAAGAAAAGGAAGAACCCAGAACAGGGUCUCUUUUUUGGUGAACCCAACUGAAGACAGUGGGAUUAAGCUCAGGGAAGAAAGAUCACUGUAGCGUGUGGUGCUUCUUGAGGGCUGACAGUCUCCCAUCUGCUGCUGUAUCCUUAGCACCAAGGUAAAAUACUCGGCUCAUGGUAAUCAUUCAAUACACGCUUCAUUAAAAGAAUAAGAGACAGAGGCAACCCCACAGUUCUUGAGGAAGCGAAAGAGAAAAUCAUUUACGCAUUAUUUAAAGAAUAGCUAGCAUUCAUUUGUACAGCAAUUAACCAUUUACACUUUUAGAGAGCAGGUUCCUAGGUAUGACUUGCAGGUGUUUCACAGAUGAACAGACUGAGUCACAGGCUUUCUGCCUUCUUGUCCAAGGCCUGCCGUGGCUGACGCUAAAAUCGCACCAUGGUCCUUCACACAGUGUCAAGUUGCUACCGUCCCUGUUAGUGCCAGCAGCAUGAUGUCUCUGCCACCAUGGAAGAAGGAAAACACAUUCAGCUGUUAUGUUUCAGCCAGAGACACCACACUGAGCAUGAUCCACGUGGCUUCUUUUCUCUUCCCUUGAAUUCCUCUGAUGGAGGGGUUCUUAACCUGGGGUCCAUGGAUGGACUUGGAGGGCCUAGUACUUACGUUCCUGUGUGCCUUUUUGGAAGGGGAUCUUCGCUUCCAUCAUACUCUCACAGAGGUCUGGGACCCAGAUGAAAAGCCAUUGUUCCAGCUGCUGCUGCUAGUAGGGCCUUGAUCUUUAAUUACACUUCUGGUGACAAAGUGCUUUCACUGUUCCACUUCCCCUCCCUUGCAACAGCCUAAGGUUUCUUAAUGAAUUCAACACUUACCAGCAGGAUCCUUUUUUGGUUAGAGAAAAGAGUUGGGGCAAAUCACUCAGGGCCCUGAAUAUGCAUAUUAGUACUCUUUUCCCUUUGCUUGGAUGUCACUCAAACCUCCUUUCUAACUCAGGACUUUGCAGUAGAAGGCAGCAACUAACUUUCCCCUCUGAUUCUCCUUUAAUGAUCUCCAUCUUUUCAACUAUAUGGUGAGAACAGAAUGACCAGGCUCAUUUCCCAAGCCUUUCCUUUGCUCUAGCCUUUCACACAUCGUAAAUCUCAUUGGACAUGCUGUCCCUUAGAUCUCUAAGGAAAUCCUCCCAGUAUCUCAAAGCAUAACUCAAAUGCCCUUUCGUCAGCCAAGCCUUUCCAUCCUAAUAUUGAAUGAUAUUUAUAGUGAUAGCUAACAUUUAUUGAGGGCUUGCUAUGUGCCAGGCAUGAUGUUAAUAAGUUUUUGGUAAAUAUCCAAACCAAAACCUUUCCAGGUUUAGAAAGAUUAAAGGAUGUUAGAUUCUGUAACAAAUACAACAAAACAAACGAAAAAUUAAUCUCUAUAGCUUAACAGAUUUGAAGCUUAUCUCUUACAUAUGUAAAGUCUAAAUAAGUGUUCCUGAUAAGCAGGUAGACAGCAUUGAGGGUGUUGGUCUUUCCAUCCUAUGGCUGUACUACCUUUAACAAGUAGCUUCCGAACUUGCUGGCUUGGGGAUAAAGGAUAAAUGGUCACAUGUGGGACGUGUUUAUGGGCCAAUCCUAGAAAAUGGCAUGUAUUACUUUUACUUAGAUCUGUAUCCUAGUGUCCAACGGGAGUCAUAUGGCUGGGAGAUCUGAACUAGCUUAUGCGCAGAAGGAAGGGGAAAUAAAUUUGGUGAGAAUUUAGAAUUGUUUGCCUCAAGGCAUCCCGCUGGGAAUUAGGAGAGCCGUGGCGAUGUUGAAUUUUACAUUAUGAAAAUUAUGAGUGUUAUGUUCCUGGACAGCAGUCGCCAUUCUGAAGUCCCUCCACUCUUUUGCAUUCUGGGAAAUGGCUUACUGCAGAGAAACACCUGUUCUCACGUGACUUAGAGAAGACCGACAGAUGCCCCUUGGUUCAACUAUGAUGAAGCCAGACACAGACUCUCUAAAUUCCCACUCUUCACCUCACAAAUGACUAGCUGGGCGGUUUGUCCUGUGAUUACUCAGAACAAAAUCCUUGUUAACCACACACUUUGGUUAACUUUCUCUCCUUCCAUGAGGUGUCUGACCCACCCUCACGCGGAACCAGCCCAAAACUUCUUAACAGCCCCACCCAAGAGCAGGCUGACCUCAGGGAUCAGUCUCGGCUCUACAGCCGGGUCACUGCCACAUCCACCUACUCACCCCAUUCACCCCACUUCCCAUACCCCACCGCUUUCAAGCCACAUUACUUCUCCUUAAAGAAAGCCUCUUUCUGCAUAAUUCAGACACUUGCAGAUCCCAUGGUUGGAGCACUCUACCUAUUGUAUUGCUAUUGUCCAUUCCUUUCUCUUGCAAUUAUCCUUUAGAAUAAAGUCUCUCCUUAUGUAAAUUUUUAUUUAAUAGCAGAGAUUUGAACCCAGGGAUUCUGGCUGGAAUACACCCUCAGAUUGCCUCCCGUGCCAGAGAUGGGUACUCCCCUACGAUGUACUACAUGCCCCCCUACACUUUGCACUGUGUAGAGCCAUCACACA